GAUGAACGCUGGCGGCGUGCCUAAUACAUGCAAGUCGAGCGCAGCGGGGACGGGGGAGUAACACGUGGAUAACAGCCUAUAAGAAUGGGAUAACUUCGGGAAACCGGAGCUAAACCGGAUACUUAUCGAUGGAUCAGGGCUGCAUUAGCUAGUUGGUAAGGUAACGGCUUACCAAGGAAACGAUGCAUAGCCGACCUGAGAGUGUGACCGGCCACACUGGAACUGAGACACGGUCCAGACUCCUACGGGAGGCAGCAGUAGGGAAGCUUCCGCAAUGGGCGAAAGCCUGACGGAGCAACGCCGCGUGAGUGAUGAAGGUCUUCGGAUCGUAAAACUCUGUUAUUAGGGAAGCGGUACCUAAUCAGAAAGCCACGGCUAACUACGUGCCAGCAGCCGCGGUAAUUC
rnacentral:rRNA from 1 species